ensembl:lncRNA MUC20-OT1 MUC20 overlapping transcript
AGCGCAUGCUGUGUACAGAGGGUGUCGAGAAUGCCUCCUACGUGACGGAAAGCAGAUCCGUGGUUCCCUGCAGACUGGCAGGAGCAGAUUCCAAAGGCACAGGAAGAAGCUUGCAGUACAAAGAUAAAAAUCUAAAGUGGUUGCUGUGGAGGACAGGGGUCAGUGGUGGAAGUGAGACCGAAAUAGACUCUGAAGUAAUAUCUGGACUUUGAAAUUGUUUCCUUAAUGACAACAAAAAAGGGAGUAAUCCUACCCACUGUAAGAGUCAUGACUCUUGAUUGCAGCUGACAGAAACUCAUGACAGCCUGCUUUAGAUGAAGGGGGAGAGAAGGACUGGAAGAAUCUUGGAGUUGGGAAUGUCACACGUAAUUGAAGGAAGAACAAGAAAACUAUAAUUCUUCCCCUGGAGGCUGGAGUUUCCAGGAUGUCAAAAUUACCUCUGCUUGGGUGAGCUAUUUCAAGCAGCUGGGAUACCUGUGUCACUCCUGCUGUCUGCCAGUGACUGCCCAGGCAGCUGCUCCCAACCCCAGAACCUUUGCUGUCUUGGGACGGAUCACCACUGCAAGAGGGGAAGUUGCUACUGUGAUGAAUUCUGCCAUGUGGCACCAGACUGCCACCCAGACCACAGUGUCCUCUGCAACCCUGGUAACUCACAUACAGGCCCGAUUCCACCGACAGCAAAGCUGGAUGCUAUGGCUGGCAGAGGCAAACCCUUUGCCUGCACUUCAGGCCAAAGCCGGGAUGUGGCCUAGAUGGUUCCUAAGGUCCCUGACAAUCCUGAGAUCUUGCAUCUUGUCUAUUUCAGGUCAAAGGUGCCUACAUGCUCCUUCUAGCUUUGUUUCCCUGAUGUUCCUUGCCACCUGCUACUCCUCUCUGAGCUACUUUUCCAGGUUCCACAGGGAGAGGUUCAGCUGUCCGUGGUAGACAUGAGGGUAGAGAGUGAGGUGGUUGGGUUCCACUUACCUUUCUAUCAUCUUGCAGUAUGGAUGUCUCUUGACUGGUACCGUGUAGACUUUUGAGGGCACACAGGAGUCUGCAGAGAGAUACUGGGGACAUUGAGCAGCAGCAGUGGGGUUGGGAGGCAGAAAUGAGGACAGGAACAUUUACCUUGUGUUUCUCUCAGCUUCUCAGAUGACCAAGAUGGUGCUGCAGAUGGUGCUGAGGAUGGAGAACCCACCAAGCCC